CGCUAGCGGGAGGCCUAACACAUGCAAGUCGAACGGGAUUGAGAGCUUGCUCUCAUGAGAGUGGCGCACGGGUGAGUAACGCGUAUGCAACCUACCUAUAACUGAGGGAUAGCCCAUAGAAAUGUGGAUUAAUACCUCAUAGUUCUUUUGUUCCGCAUGGGAUGAAAGAUAAAGCUCCGGCGGUUAUAGAUGGGCAUGCGUGACAUUAGCUAGUUGGUAAGGUAACGGCUUACCAAGGCUACGAUGUCUAGGGGUUCUGAGAGGAUGAUCCCCCACACUGGUACUGAGACACGGACCAGACUCCUACGGGAGGCAGCAGUGAGGAAUAUUGGUCAAUGGGCGCAAGCCUGAGCCAGCCAUCCCGCGUGCAGGAUGAAG
rnacentral:rRNA from 1 species